rnacentral:rRNA from 1 species
GAUGAACGCUGGCGGCGUGCCUAAUACAUGCAAGUCGAGCGAAGCGGGGACGGGUGAGUCACACGUGGAUAACCUCCUAUAAGACUGGGAUAACUUCGGGAAACCGGAGCUAAACCGGAUCCUUAUAGAUGUAACCGAGCUGCAUUAGCUAGUUGGUAAGGUAACGGCUUACCAAGGCAACGAUGAAUAGCCGACCUGAGAGGGUGAUCGGCCACACUGGAACUGAGACACGGUCCAGGCUCCAACGGUAGGCAGCAGUAGGGAAUCAUCCGCAAUGGGCGAAAGCCUGACCGAGCAACGCCGCGUGUGUGAUGAAGGUCUGCGGAUCGUAAAACGCUGUGAUUAGGGAAGCGGUACCUAAUCAGAGAGCCACGGCUAACUACGGGCCAGCCGCCGCGGUAAUUC